AGUUUAGUGGUAGAACCUCAGCCUUCCAAGCUGAUGAUGCGGGUUCGAUUCCCGCC
rnacentral:tRNA from 1 species